rnacentral:rRNA from 1 species
GAUGAACGCUGGCGGCGUGCCUAUACCUGCCAGUCGCGCGAACAGGCGAGGAGCUUGCUCCUCUGACGUUAGCGGCGGACGGGUGAGUAACACGUGGAUAACCUACCUAUAAGACUGGGAUAACUUCGGGAAACCGGAGCUAAUACCGGAUAAUAUAUUGAACCGCAUGGUUCAAUAGUGAAAGACGGUUUUGCUGUCACUUAUAGAUGGAUCCGCGCCGCAUUAGCUAGUUGGUAAGGUAACGGCUUACCAAGGCAACGAUGCGUAGCCGACCUGAGAGGGUGAUCGGCCACACUGGAACUGAGACACGGUCCAGACUCCUACGGGAGGCAGCAGUAGGGAAUCUUCCGCAAUGGGCGAAAGCCUGACGGAGCAACGCCGCGUGAGUGAUGAAGGUCUUCGGAUCGUAAAACUCUGUUAUUAGGGAAGAACAAAUGUGUAAGUAACUAUGCACGUCUUGACGGUACCUAAUCAGAAAGCCACGGCUAACUACGUG